GAUGAACGCUGGCGGCGUGCCUAAUACAUGCAAGUCGAGCGAACAGACGAGGAGCUUGCUCCUCUGACGUUAGCGGCGGACGGGUGAGUAACACGUGGAUAACCUACCUAUAAGACUGGGAUAACUUCGGGAAACCGGAGCUAAUACCGGAUAACAUGUUGAACCGCAUGGUUCAACAGUGAAAGACGGUUUUGCUGUCACUUAUAGAUGGAUCCGCGUCGCAUUAGCUAGUUGGUGAGGUAACGGCUUACCAAGGCAACGAUGCGUAGCCGACCUGAGAGGGUGAUCGGCCACACUGGAACUGAGACACGGUCCAGACUCCUACGGGAGGCAGCAGUAGGGAAUCUUCCGCAAUGGGCGAAAGCCUGACGGAGCAACGCCGCGUGAGUGAAGAAGGUCUUCGGAUCGUAAAACUCUGUUAUUAGGGAAGAACAAAUGUGUAAGUAACUAUGCACGUCUUGACGGUACCUAAUCAGAAAGCCACGGCUAACUACGUG
rnacentral:rRNA from 1 species